rnacentral:rRNA from 1 species
AGAGUUUGAUCCUGGCUCAGAACGAACGCUGGCGGCAGGCUUAACACAUGCAAGUCGAGCGCCCCGCAAGGGGAGCGGCAGACGGGUGAGUAACACGUGGGAAUCUACCCAUCACUACGGAACAACUCCGGGAAACUGGAGCUAAUACCGUAUACGUCCUUCGGGAGAAAGAUUUAUCGGUGAUGGAUGAGCCCGCGUUGGAUUAGCUAGUUGGUGGGGUAAAGGCCUACCAAGGCGACGAUCCAUAGCUGGUCUGAGAGGAUGAUCAGCCACACUGGGACUGAGACACGGCCCAGACUCCUACGGGAGGCAGCAGUGGGGAAUAUUGGACAAUGGGCGCAAGCCUGAUCCAGCCAUGCCGCGUGAGUGAUGAAGGCCCUAGGGUUGUAAAGCUCUUUCACCGGUGAAGAUAAUGACGGUAACCGGAGAAGAAGCCCCGGCUAACUUCGUGCCAGCAGCCGCGGUAAUACGAAGGGGGCUAGCGUUGUUCGGAAUUACUGGGCGUAAAGCGCACGUAGGCGGAUCGUUAAGUGAGGGGUGAAAUCCCA